rnacentral:siRNA from 1 species
GGCCUAAGUAACACUUUCAAGCC